AUGCAUGUCUGGGAGGUGGUACUAGUUGCUCUUGGUGUAGCCGUAGCAGAGUUGUGUGUGGCAUGUGGCCGCGAGCUGAUGUGUACCCCAUGUUGCCAUGAGACAAAACUCGACGCUGUCGACACCUUCACGGCUGCCUUCUUGGGGGGAAACAGAUUGCGUAAUUAUGCGCAAAGGCCGACGGAUGGCACCCGAGGUGGUAUGCUGAUGCUCUGGGACGACCACCUUGUAGAAAUGUCCAACAUCACCGCCUCCACCUUCUGCUUGUCAGCGAUGGUUCGCAUUCGCGAAUCUGAAGUACAAUACAAGCUCACCACCGUUUAUGGCCCCACUGCCUCUUCCCGCAAAGAUGCCUUCUUCGCUGAGCUCAUCAGCCAGAAACCGCCCAAUGGGAUGUCUUGGCUCGUUGCAGGGGAUUUCAACCAAAUAUAUCAUGCAAGAGACAAGAAUAAAAGGCAUGUUAACCGUAGUCGAAUAAAUCGGUUCCGAACCACCCUUCAAAGUUGUGAUCUUAAAGAGAUACACUUGCAAAACAGAAGGUUCACCUGGAGCAAUGAGAGGGAAAACCCUACAAUGUGCAAACUUGACUCAUUUUUCUGCAACGCCGGAUGGGACACCACUUUCAACACUCAUUUGCUACACGCCCUCUCGUCAUCUCUGUCCAAUCAUUGUCCACUCCUUCUCGCCGAUGACAAGGGAUCGCGGAGACCGCGAACUUUCAAGUUUGAAAACUUUUGGAUCUCUAUGCCCGGUUUCAUGAAAGUGUGGAGUAGGAGCCUCUUCUCGAAGGCAAAAGUUCACCUUCAUGCCGCUCUCUUGGUGAUUCUCCGCCUCGACAUUGCUCAAGAGAAUCGGCAACUCUCCCCUGAUGAGAGGGACCUUAGGGCCCGGCUGAAGAGGAGAGUUAUCAGCUUGGCCGCACUCGAGAGAGCUCGGAAAAAGCAAUGUUCAAGAAUUGCUAACCUCAAGGAGGGCGACGCAAACACCAAGUUCUUUCAUCGCCGGAUUAAUGGUAGAAGGAGGAAGAAUCAUAUCCAUAGGCUAAAGCAUGACCAAGGUUGGGUCACCGAGCACGACGCCAAAGAGAAGCUCAUUCUGGAUCACUUCGCUGACGUGAUGAAAAAAAGGAGCACAAGCGACAAAGACUUCAAUUGGGAUGAGCUCAACUUAGAGGAAAACUCUGUUUCGGCAAAUGGAUAA
rnacentral:rRNA from 1 species